rnacentral:lncRNA from 1 species
CAUCGUCAGAAUACUCCAUCUGCCAUCAGUGAUUCUACCGUAAUGUUAUGAAGCGACGAGAUUACUUUUUGUACACGAAGAAACAAAAAUAACAACUUUAUUCAACAAUUCCUCUCCUCUGUGUCUCUCCAAAUCAGUGUAGUGCCAUUUUGACAAAUCUGAGCAGUACGCAGUUGGCAUACGCUCUUCUGUAUCAGCCGCAACACUUUGGUUUGAAAGACAACAGCGCAACACGGCUGACACAGAAGAGCAUACGCCAUCUGCGUACUGCUCAGGUUUGUCAAAGACAAAUUUGGAGAGAGACAGAGGAGAGGAAUUGUUGAAUAAAGUCAUUACUUUUGUUUUACUACCGGUUUUCAUCCAAAAUAUCUGAAAUUGUGUUUAGCAGAUGAACAAACGGAUUUGGAACAAGAUGGGGGUAAGUGAUUGACAACAUUUUUAUUUUGGGAUGGAGUAUCCAACCAUCCAUUGAUUAUUCACCAACUGAAAAUAUUUCUAAAUUAAUUUUUCAUCAUUACACAUUGUUUUCAAUAAUCCUGAGACUUCAUUUUAACGUUUUAAUCAGACACCAUUGAUUUGAACAAUAUAAAGGUUGCUUUAUGUCAUUAAAUAUUGCCAAAAAUAUGGUCACCGUUUGUAUGCAUUUUAGUGUUUCCAGCCCUUCAUCUCUCUCUGUCUCACCUUCAUCAUUCUCUUACACUCAUCAGUAGUGUGUGUUCGUGACUGUGCUGGUGGGUGUGUACGCUGAUCUGUGAAAUUAUGAAUGGGGUGUGUGUGUGUGCGCGUGUAUGUGAGAGAGAGAAAAAGGGAGGGAUGGAAAGACACUGCAUCAUGAAAGGAGAAAGAUUCACUCACUCGCUGCUCACCUUCACAGACAGACAGGAGAAGGGUGGCUGCACAGCUAGAUCAGAUUGUGUUUGAGGAGACACUCCGUCUGAGCUCAAGACUAAAUCAUGGAUCAGAAGUCCACUUCACCCCAGAGACAUGCGGUGAAAAGCAGGUCGAAGUCUACAGAGGAAGUCCAGCAAGCUAAAAAGGCCUUCCACAUCCCCCAGAAAUCACUGCCUGGAGGGUCAGAGCUGGAAAAGGUGAAGGAGGGACCAGAAGAAAAUGUGACUCCAGCAUCAUCCACAGAAGAGCUAAAGUGAUGCUGCCAUUAAUCUGUGUUUCUCUCACAAACAUAAAGAAAAUGCUUGGUUUGGUAUGGUACAGUUAAAGCAUUGGCUCCUUCUUUUGUUCUUUUCUUUUUGUUAGAUUUUCAGUACAGCUCAGCACAUGCAUAAUUAUGAAAACUAGUCGAUCUGCAGCACAUUCAGUCUGCAUCUCUGUACACUGACAGUACAGAUAUAAACACAAAAAAAAUUCUAUAAACACAAUGCUUUCACUAUGAACAUAAGGGCAUGUGUGCUUUUACAGUAAAGAAGGUCAAGUUAAAUUUAAAUCAGUUUAAAUUGAUAGUAUCUUUGCUAUUUUUUAUUACGUCAUCACAAUUUCUGCACAGCCAGUAGGUGCUGCUGUUAAUGUGUUGGCAGUCAUAUUAAUAUUCUGGGUGUCUGACAUCAUAAAUCUACAGAGCCCCUAAAGGGACAUUGUGAUGGAAAAAAUAUGAGAUGGAAGAAUUAUAUUUCAAUGCUUUUGUACUGAAUGCUUUUGCAUUUUAUAGGAAGUUAUAGGAAGCAAAGUUAGUGCAAACACAGUUUCUUGAGGGAAUGUAAAUGUUUUACAAAUAAAUGUAAUUUUUUCCUCCCAUCUAUUUUUUUUCAAACCAUCUUGUCUUUUUAGGGGCUCCAUAGAAUCCCUCAGAUAUCAAAAUAAGUCUUUUUUUUUUUUCAAUUUAGUUUCUUUUGUGUUCUGAAAGUUACAGCACAUUAAUUUCUAAGAACGCUUAAUGCAGGCUUGUUUCUACAAUCUAUGUUUGUUGAAUGUUUUUCACUCCACACUAGCUCUCUCAUGUAUUUGGGCUCCUGUAAGUCAAAUAGUGUCAGACGCUCAUUCGUUGACUUAUUUAUUGGCAUCAGCUGAACAGAGCUGACAUACAGUAUGAGUCAGCUGAAGAUGUUGUGUAAGUGUUUACAGUAUCCAUAAGUUAAACAGUUUGUGCUAAUAAAGUUUUAACCACUCAUCAUGCUAAAGUUCAGUGAUGAAGCAUCCCAGCAUCUCACACCUGUAAACAAGUUACAUGAAAUCUGUGCAGUCUGUGUAAUGCAAGCAGUUUCUGACCAAAAUAAAAUUAAACUACCAUCAACAAGUGUUAAGGUAAGAUUUAAGUAACCCAUAAAAAAAAGUACAUACCAGGAUGUAUCACUUGCUCAGCAAUGGAUCCUCUGCAGUGAAUGGGUGCCGAUCA